rnacentral:rRNA from 1 species
CGGAAGGCCUAGUGGCGAACGGGUGCGUAACACGUGAGGAACUUGUCCCGGUCUCUGGAAUAACAGGUGGAAACACCUGCUAAUACCGGAUGCCGUCGGACCAUCGCAUGGUGGACUGACGAAAGGGUUACCGGAUCGGGAGAGCCUCGCGGCCUAUCAGCUUGUUGGUGAGGUAACGGCUCACCAAGGCAUCGACGGGUAGCUGGUCUGAGAGGAUGAUCAGCCACACUGGGACUGAGACACGGCCCAGACUCCUACGGGAGGCAGCAGUGGGGAAUCUUGCACAAUGGGCGAAAGCCUGAUGCAGCAACGCCGCGUGCGGGAAGAAGGCCCUAGGGUUGUAAACCGCUUUCAGCAGGGAAGAAGAUGACGGUACCUGUAGAAGAAGGUGCGGCCAACUACGUGCCAGCAGCCGCGGUGACACGUAGGCACCAAGCGUUGUCCGGGAUUUAUUGGGCGUAAAGAGCUCGUAGGCGGUUCGGUAAGUCGGGUGUGAAAACUCUGGGCUCAACCCAGAGCCGCCACCCGAUACUGCUGUGACUUGAGUUCGGUAGGGGAGCGGGGAAUUCCUGGUGUAGCGGUGAAAUGCGCAGAUAUCAGGAAGAACACCGAUGGCGAAGGCAGGUCUCUGGGCCAUUACUGACACUGAGAAGCGAAAGCAUGGGUAGCGAACAGGAUUAGAUACCCUGGUAGUCCAUGCCGUAAACGUUGGGCACUAGGUGUGGGGGGACAUUCCACGUUUUCCGCGCCGUAGCUAACGCAUUAAGUGCCCCGCCUGGGGAGUACGGCCGCAAGGCUAAAACUCAAAGGAAUUGACGGGGGCCCGCACAAGCGGCGGAGCAUGCUGAUUAAUUCGAUGCAACGCGAAGAACCUUACCAAGGCUUGACAUGCACUGGACGGCUGCAGAGAUGUGGCUUUUCUUUGGACUGGUGCACAGGUGGUGCAUGGUUGUCGUCAGCUCGUGUCGUGAGAUGUUGGGUUAAGUCCCGCAACGAGCGCAACCCUCGUUCUAUGUUGCCAGCACGUAAUGGUGGGGACUCAUAGGAGACUGCCGGGGUCAACUCGGAGGAAGGUGGGGACGACGUCAAAUCAUCAUGCCCCUUAUGUCUUGGGCUUCAAGCAUGCUACAAUGGUCGGUACAAUGGGUUGCGAAACUGUGAGGUGGAGCGAAUCCCAAAAAGCCGGCCUCAGUUCGGAUUGGGGUCUGCAACUCGACCCCAUGAAGUCGGAGUCGCUAGUAAUC